GACGAACGCUGGCGGCGUGCUUAACACAUGCAAGUGGAGCGACGAACCGGGGCUUGCCCCGGGGCAGAGCCGCGAACGGGUGAGUAACACGUGGGCAACCUACCCCAAUGACCGGGACAACCCGAGGAAACUCGGGCUAAUACCGGAUGUACUCCUCAGCCAUAAGGCUGUUGAGCAAAGAUAGCUUCGGCCUUCGCAUUGGGAUGGGCCCGCGGCCCAUUAGCUUGUUGGUGGGGUAACGGCCUACCAAGGCAUCGAUGGGUAGCUGGUCUGAGAGGACGAUCAGCCACACUGGGACUGAGACACGGCCCAGACUCCUACGGGAGGCAGCAGUGGGGAAUCUUGCACAAUGCGCGAAAGCGUGAUGCAGCAACGCCGCGUGGGGGAAGACGGCCUUCGGGUUGUAAACCCCUUUCAGUUGGGACGAAGCUUCGCUAGUUAAUAGCUGGUUGGAGUGACGGUACCUUCAGAAGAAGCCCCGGCUAACUACGUGCCAGCAGCCGCAGUAAGAC
rnacentral:rRNA from 1 species